UGGGGAACGUAUAAAAAUGGUCUGGAACUAGAAUUUUGCAUCACUUGCGGUAUAGCUGAUUAUAUAUCACGUGUUUGAUGAAUGACUGGGAUUCUCGACAGAACUCAAGAAAUGAAAGUAGAAUUAAUCAUCAUAUUUUGCAUGUUCAGCCUUCUUAUGGUCGGAGUUGUAGAAGGGGAGAUCAGAUGCGGCACGUGGACUUACAGUCACGACGGAUGUAGCGACCCUUACAACAUGCCUUUCAAAUACCGUUUCCGACAAGCAUGUGAUAAACACGACCUCUGCUAUGCAUGUGGAUAUACACGUGACGUGUCAAGGUCAAGCUGCGAUCGAAUGUUGCUCACAAAUAUGAGGAAUUAUUGUUAUUCUUCUUAUAGUGGAGGUUCGACCCGCUCGAGUUGCAUUUCUAACGCAAAUGUAUACUACAAUGCGGCGAGACGAUAUUUGGGUUCGACUUUUUCAACAAGGUCAGCGAGUUCCUGCUAUCGCCGGGGGGUUUGGGAUUGUAUCCAUGACUAAGGUCUAUGCAUUUUUAUAUUAAUAUUUAGCAUGAUUUUGUUUUUUGUUACUAACAUGUUAUGCAUAUAAACUAACUUCAAAGUCAACUGGAUAUAUAUGAAUAUUACAAUGGCCUAUCGACCUAUAGUCUCUAACCUCCAGACAAAUAUUCUCUGAAUAUUGUACAUGGCCGAAUAAAAACUAACGUCAAAGUUGACUGGAUAUAUAUAUAUAAAUAUUGCAGUGGCUUAUCGACCUAUAGCGUAUAGUCUCUAACAUCCAGACAAACAUUCAAUGAAUAUUGUGGAAGGACGAGUAAAAACUAUGCAGUGGCCUAUCGACCUAUAGCGUAUAGUCUCUAACAUCCAGACAAAUAUUCUCUGAAUAUUGUGGAAGGGUGAAUAAAAAUUUCAAAGUCGACUGGAUAUAUUGGCCUAUCGAACUGUAGUCUCUAACAUAUUCUCUAAAUAUUGUUGAAGGGCUAAUUUCAGUUAAUCCAGACAAUUAUUAUUCUCACGGUCUGUGAACUCGGCCCAUUAGUAACAGUGUUACUUAAACAUACAUUAUGCAAGAGCUGAAUCUGUCUUUUGCAGGCCUUUCUUUAGGCCUGAAAUGUUAUCUAAAUUAUUAAUUAGACAUUAAUUAACCUAUCCAGACCAUAAUCAACUCUAGAUGGCAGCGCUAGCCUGCGAACUUUAGUGGAUUAUGAGCCGAUUUAAUGCAUAACUUUCCUUCACGAUUUAACGAUUAAAUGGAUAAUCGAGACUAUGGUGUUUAUCGUACUGACUUUAGUAAUGAUGAUCAAGGCUAGCCGCUUAGUUCUCGGUUCAUAGUGGAUCAAUUUGAAUGAAAUUUUCAGCAACUUGCCUUUACAUUAUCUAGCUUUUAACUAUUAUAGUGAGAACUGCCAGCUCUUUAUCUAAUCUCCCAUAAUGUAUCUUUAAUUCGGUGGUCAUUAUUUUAAUAGAUCAUUAUGGAUCUUAAAGGGCAUAUGGCUCUAUUAUUUGCAACCUUAAAAUAGACGAAAAUAAGUAUAAAACACACAUUAAUGUAAUAUGAAUGAAUAUAUUAUAAUUUCUAAUCAAUUAUGUUCUGUGAAAUAUCUUAUAAGUCCAAAUUGAACGAUAAUGUUUACGCCUGCUUAGUGCAUUCUACAAAUUUAUAAAAAAAACUAUUUUGUUGUUUGUGAAUCAACUAAUUACUUCUUCGUUGCUUUUUCUUUGUUAAUUACAAAUGGCAUCCGAAACCAUAGAGUACACGACUCGUGUACUGAUUUUAAAAUGUUCACUGUGUCAUAAAAUUGAAUAUUGGGGUCCAAUACUUUCACGGCAAGAUAACAUUAAUAUUAUUAAAAUGGAUCAAGAUUUAA